rnacentral:tRNA from 1 species
AUCUAAAUAGCUUAUAUAAUAGAGUAUAAUAUUGAAGAUGUUAUGGAGAUUAAUUAAUCUUUAGAUA